rnacentral:rRNA from 1 species
UACGGAGGGUGCAAGCGUUAAUCGGAAUUACUGGGCGUAAAGCGCACGCAGGCGGUCUCUUAAGUUUGGAGUGACAGUUGGUGGCUUAACUGCCAAAGUGCUUCGAAAACUGAGAGACUUGAGGGCUUCAGAGGGACACGGAAUUCCGGGUGGAGUGGUGAAAUGCGUAGAGAUCCGGAGGAACACCAAAGGCGAAGGCAGUGUCCUGGGGAGUACCUGACGCUCAGGUGCGAAAGCCAGGGGAGCGAACGGG